rnacentral:rRNA from 1 species
GACAGAGGGGGCAAGCGUUGCUCGGAAUUACUGGGCGUAAAGGGCGCGUAGGCGGGAUGGCAAGUCGGUCGUGAAAUCCCUCGGCUCAACCGAGGAACGUAGAUCGAUACUGCUGUUCUUGAGGAUUGCAGAGGAGACUGGAAUUUACGGUGUAGCGGUGAAAUGCGUAGAUAUCGUAAGGAAGACCAGUGGCGAAGGCGGGUCUCUGGACAGUUCCUGACGCUGAGGCACGAAGGUCAGGGGAGCAAACGGG